AUUGAACGCUGGCGGCAGGCCUAACACAUGCAAGUCGAACGAGUGGCGGACGGGUGAGUAAUGUCUGGGAAACUGCCCGAUGGAGGGGGAUAACUACUGGAAACGGUAGCUAAUACCGCAUACCAUCGGAUGUGCCCAGAUGGGAUUAGCUAGUCGGUGGGGUAACGGCUCACCUAGGCGACGAUCCCUAGCUGGUCUGAGAGGAGGACCAGAAACACUGGAACUGAGACACGGGACAGAAUCCUACGGGAGGCAGCAGUGGGGAAUAUUGCACAAUGGGCGCAAUCCUGAGGCAGCCAUGCCGCGUGUAUGAAGAAGGCCUUCGGGUUGUAAAGUACUUUCAGCGAGGAGGCGUUACUCGCAGAAGAAGCACCGGCUAACUCCGUGCCAGCAGCCGCGGUAAUAC
rnacentral:rRNA from 1 species